rnacentral:rRNA from 1 species
AUGGCUGAAUAUGCAGUUGGGCCGCUGAUCUCCAUGCUGAAGGACAAGGUGUCCAGCUACCUUCUGGUGCGGUACAAGGUGAUGGACGGCAUGGAGGAGCAGCGCGAGAUCCUGGAGCGCAAGCUCCCAGCCAUCUUGAACAUCAUCGAAGAUGCGGAGGAGAAAGGAGCUCACCGUUCUGGGGUAAGCGCCUGGCUCAAAGCGCUCAAGAAGGUGGCCUGCGAGGCGAAUGAUGUCUUCGAUGAGUUCAAGUACGAGGCUCUCCGGCGUGAUGCCAAGGAGAAGGGACACUACAAGAAGCUUGGCUUUGAUAUCGUAAGCCUCUUCCCUGCCCACAACUCCAUUGUGUUUCGUUACAGGAUGGGCAAGAAGCUGUGCAGUAUUGUGCGCGUCAUUGAGCUCCUUGUCAAAGAGAUGAAUGAAUUUGGAUUCAAACACCUGGAACAAGCCCCGCCAUCCAAGCAGUGGCGUAGCACAGAUUCGAUAAUCAUCGACUCCGAGAAGGAUAUUGUUAGCACAUCCAGAGACGAAGAGAAGAAGAUCGUGAGUAUAUUGGUUGAUCAAGCUAGAGAGGGGAGGGAUCUCAUUGUCCUUCCCAUUGUUGGAAUGGGUGGUCUGGGCAAGACCACCUUCGCUCAGCUUGUGUACAAUGACCCUGAAAUCAUGGAGUAUUUCAAGCUCCGAAGGUGGUGCUGUGUAUCAGAGGAUUUUGACGUCGUUAAAAUUGCAAGCAGCAUCUGUCAGACUAGUGAGGAAGAUCGUGACAAGGCAUUGCACAACCUUCAAAAUGAAGUAAGUGCGAAGAGAUACCUUAUUGUGUUGGAUGAUAUAUGGAAUGAAGAUGCUGACAAGUGGAAAAAACUCAGAACCUGCCUGAAGUAUGGUGGCAAGGGUAGUGCAGUGCUGGUGACCACUCGUAAAGUAAAAGUAGCUCAAAUUAUGAAGAUGUGUAUUAAUGAUAGUCAUAAUCUCAGAAAGCUAUCUAAUGUAUUUCUGAAGGAAAUAUUUGAGAAUAGAGCAUUCUAUUCGCAAAAGCCAGACGCUGCUGAGCUAAAUGACAUGGUGGAAAAAAUUCUGGACAGAUGUGGGGGCUCUCCUUUAGCAGCCAAAGCCUUUGGAUCUAUGUUGAGUACCAAGACUAGCAUGAAAGAAUGGGUGAAGGUACUAACCAGAAGCAACAAGUGCAAUGCAAAGACAGAAAUUUUACCUAUACUCAAGCUCAGCUAUGAUGACUUGCCAUCGCACUUGAAACAAUGCUUUGCUUUCUGUGCUAUGUUUCCAAAAGAUUAUGAGAUUGAUGUGGAAAUGUUAAUCCAACUAUGGAUGGCACAUGAUUUCAUACCGCUGAAGGAAGAUGAAAAUCUUGAAAAGAUAGGCAGAGAAAUUUUUGAUGAGCUAACUUGGAGGUCAUUCUUUCAAGAUGUCAAACAAACCCCUCCUCAUAAAGGAUAUAAUGAGAUCCGUUCAAGCACAGUAUGCAACAUGCAUGAUCUUAUGCAUGACGUUGCCUUGUCUGUUAUGGGAAAGGAUUGUCUUACUAUAGUUGAUAGGCCUAAUCAAAAGGAGUUAUUAUCAGCAGGACCUACUCGCCACCUGUUCUCACCAUAUGAGUGCAUCGGAACACUUUUGGAUGAUUAUCUGAAGAAACAGUCUCUAGCUCUCCAGACACUAUUAUAUAAUCCAUGGAGCAAAGGCUCAGCACCACCAUUGUCGAAGUACAGUCAUCUACGAGCACUGAAACUCUUUCAGCUGAGAGAACUUCCACUCCAUCCAAGACACUUACAGCACCUGAGGUAUCUUGAUCUCUCAGACAAUCACUUGAUCAAAGAGCUUCCCAAGGAAAUAAGCAUCUUGUAUAAUCUACAAACUCUUAAACUUUCUAAUUGCUCAAGACUUGGUCGACUUCCAAAGGAUAUGAAGUAUAUGGCGAAUCUCCGCCACCUCUAUACUAAUGGAUGCUCAUCAUUGGAGUGCAUGCCUCCAGAACUCGGGCAACUCACUUCUCUAGAGACUCUGACAUCUUUUGUAGUGGGCUCUACUCCUGGUUGCAGUACUAUUGGAGAACUGCGGGACUUAAAUCUUGGUGGUCAAUUAGAGCUAUUUUGUCUUGAAUAUGUAACUGAAGAGCAGGCUAAAGCAUCCAGUCUUGGAAAUAAAGAGAACAUCACACAUUUAUCUCUUGAAUGGAGUGAUGACAGCAUUGACGAACUUAACCAGCACAUGAAUGUGCUUGAUGCACUUAAACCUCAUGUUGCGCUGGAGUUUCUAGAAAUAUAUUCCUAUGGAGGUGCUGCUUUCCCGACAUGGGUGACGAGUCCUACUUUUCUGCAGCAUUUAAUGGAGCUCCACCUGGAUGGUUGCACAAUGUGUGAGGAAUUUCCACAGUUCAGUCAAUUUAAAGCCCUUGAAGUUCUCGUUUUGAAAAGGUUGAACAAAUUGCAAAGCAUAUGCAGUCACAAUUCAUCUGCAGCAUUUCCAACAUUGAAAGACCUCAAAUUGGAAAAUUCGGAGAUUUUUGAGAGAUGGGUGAUAUCAGAAGGAGAACAAUUAACAUUUCCUAUGCUUGAGAAUAUUGUAAUUGAGAACUGCCCAAAGCUAACAACUCUACCUGAAGCACCAAAACUCAAAACUAUAAAGCUAGAGGAAGGCAAGGCUCAACUAUCCUUGGCAAUAUUAAGAUCCAGGUACAUGGCUUACUUGUCUGAGUUAGUUAUGGUUGUCGGUGAUACAAAAGCAACACCAACAUUGAAUCUUGAUCAAGAUCCUGGAGUGUCUAUUUUGGAAAUGGACUUGAGUGGUUGCAACUUUUUGUUCCCGUCAAGUCCAUUGCAGCCAGCGGUUGGGGUUUGGAAAUGGUUUGGUCAGCUUGUCAGGUUGAAUAUCAUUUCUUGUGAUACGCUCAUCUACUGGCCUGAACAAGAGUUCCAAAGCUUGGUAUCAUUGAAGUUUAUGCUCAUCAGAAACUGCAGCAAGCUCAUAGGCUCCACCCGGGUGAAAGGAUGCCGUACUCAAGGAAGCUGUCAAUUCCUGCCCAAUCUAACAAAACUAAUGGUUAAUUCUUGUGGAAGCUUGACAGAACUUUUCGUUCUUCCCCCAUCUCUCACGAGCCUGACCCUUUUUUGGUGCCAUAGUCUUGAGUUCAUACAGUUGCAGGAUGAUAGAGAGCUGGAGAGUGUGCAACACUUUGAUACAGCGGCAUCGUCAGAACACUGCAAUCACCUUGCAUCCGAAAUUAUGCCAGAGCAGUCACCUUUACCCAGAGUUAAUCCUUUGUCAUGUCUCAUGUUUUUGCAUAUACAUGGUUGUGACAAGAUUCGUUCUGUGCCAGCACAGUUGGAUAGACUCAUGCAUCUGAGUAUUAGGUAUUGCAGUGGGCUGGAGUCACUCGAUUGUUUGGGUGACCUACCGUUACUGCAUGCAUUAUACCUUGUGAAGUGCAAACAUCUGGCAUCUAUACCAGGUAGUAUUGGGAACUACUCAGCCCUUAAGACGGUCGUAAUUGGAUACUGCCCAGCUCUAAAUUUGAAACCACUUUAUGGACACCUCAAACGACGGGGCGAUAGCCUUGACUACAAGGAUCUAUCUCAUGCUGGUUCAAGCUACCCUACUAAAGGUACCUGUCAAUUUCGUUUAAUUCAUUUCAUUUCUCCUUUUCCCUUGCCUAUUGUGUUGAAAAAUGUACGCCUUGCGGUCUGCAGCUUGAAUUUCUAUUCAACUCUCCUUAUGUUUUUGUUUUUGGAAAUAAAGUUGGUAUGUCUGUUUUUUCUAUUCUACGAUGUUCUCAUUUUGUUAAUAGAGUUUCCUCAUGUAUUGGGCAAGUAG